GGGGUUGUAGCUCAGUGGUAGAGUACUUGCCUUGCAUGCGUGAGGCCCUGAGUUCAAUCCUCAGCACCACA
rnacentral:tRNA from 1 species